CUAGAUCCCCUAUAGAUCUACUGAAUCGUUUGGGGAGCGAUCGACAUGAAUGAGAAGUGGAGAGCUUGAAUCUGCUGAAGUCGGUCCAGAUCUCCUGCCGAUUCUCCUUCGAUCUUCACCGUCCAUCGUUUUCUGUCGCAGAUGAUUUUGGCAUCGUCACCAAAGUCCUUCUAUCUCCUCCGUUUGGUUUCCGAGAAACCAGAUGGAAAUGGAAUUUUUUUUUUUCUCGACAACCAAACGGCAUUGUUGGAGAAAGAUAUAGAUUUUGGGGAUGAUGCCAACAUUUGCGACAGGUGGUGAUGGAGAAAUGGAGAUCAGAGGCGUUUCGGGAAAAUCAAUUUUGAAUUUGACUUCAUCAGGUUCUUCCUCUUCCUCUUCUGUUUUUCUCUCUUGACGGAUUAGCAGGGAUUUGACUUUUAUCAAACCACCAGUCAACCGAGAGGACGACCAAGUGAUCGACCGGCCGAUCGACUGACCAAUGUAAAAUUUUCACCAAUUGAGAGGUCAUCCAGGAGGUCGACUACCUAGUGAAAAAAUUUCACAAAAUUUUGCCUUGAGGUGGUGAUCCGGGAGGACCACCGGGGGAGACAUCUGGUGGUGAAAAUACAACAGUAAUGAACAAUAAUUUGAAGAAAGGCACAAAGCAUCCUCAGUUUGGUGAACAUUUUUUAUAUUCUCAAUUUGAUAUAUGUUUGAUGAUAUCAUUGGAGUACAAAAAAAAGUACUUUUUCACCAAAUUUGAAUUUGGUGAUGGAUUUGAUGUAGCGUUCGAGAUCUAAGAUUUCUUUUUCCUUUUGACUUUAUUUGUGUCUUUCUUUUGCCUCUAUUUUUCUACUUUUAUAUACCAUUUGAGUAUAGAAUUUCAUGUUGUUACAAGAUAUCUUUUCUUAUUUUCUAAUUAUAUAAUCCUUUUCUUCUUUAUUUCUCUGUCUUUCAGAAAUUCUUGAUAUUAGAAAAAGCUAAAAUAUUAUUCUUUUUGUGUUUCAACUAUGAAAUCCUUAUUGUUUCCUUUCAGUUUACUUUAAAUUCUUUUGAUUUCACAGAUCUAAGAUCUCUUUUGCUUUUUGAAUUUGUUUUUGUUUAUAUUUUUCCUUUUUCUUUUUAUUUACUUAAAAUAUAAAAUGCAUGUGUAAUACAUGUACAUUAUAUGUAAAAAUGUAUGUAUAUUUAUGAUAAUAAAUCCUAGCUUCUUUUUUUCUCCCUUGUAGGAAUACAUGACCAUUUAUGUAUAUAUAAUGUAUACAAAUCACAUGUAAAAGAUUGUUCAAAAAAAAAAUCAUAUGUAAAAGAAAGAUGCCUAGACAGUUAAAAUAGAGUUCAAAAGUUGAACAGAUAAGCUUGGUUUGUGUUUGAUUGACCACUUAACUUGUUGACAUAAAUUGAACCCAAUCCGAACCUCCCAAAACAUUGCUCCCCCAAAAAAAUCACCAAAAUAUAUAGUAACUGUUUCCUUGUAUCACCUUCUUUAGGAGAGUGGGCCAAAGCCAUCUCUUAUUAUAUCCAACAAUUACUCUAUGAAUACCAAACCUACAGUGACAAAACCCUUGGGGGAAAAAAAGUUGUUUUCCUCAAAUAUUAGUUCCCCCAAGCAACUCGUCAAUGUGGUGAUUCAUGGGUAAUAAUAAUGGGUGUUUAAGAAAUUUUAGUGUUGUUUCUCUCACUGAAACCAAGAAAAAAGUGAGUAGGAGAAACACAAUUACAAGAGAGAUUUUAUUUAUGAUCUUGCCAUACAAGUAUUUUGUUUAUUGUGAUCUUGAAUUUUUUUUAAUGCCUAUAUCUGUUUGGUAGUGUAGCAAGUGUCAUAAUUUUUUUACACAGUAAUUUCACUCAAAUAUUAACCUUGAGGUUCUUUAAAACAUGCAACCAUAGUUCACACGCACAAACUCCAAAUUUUUAUAAAUUUAUAAUAGAGAUUAACUUACUGUUAUGGUGACAAGUAUAGAUGGAAAUCAAUUGUGUUGUUGGGAUACAAACUUGACCAGCCUUAUUAUUAUUAUUAUUAUUUUAUGGUUUUCAUGCUUGGAGUUUACAUGGACAUGGCACCUUAUCAUUCCAGCUGUUGACUUGUUUUUUGAUGGACUAGUCCAUUGAAAAAAUGUUAUUGCCUAUAUUUUGCAAGCGAUAGUGCUCUUUAAAUUCUCAAUUGAGUUUGGUGUUCAAUUAUGUAUGAUAUGAUUGUCAUUAUGAUUUCAUCAUCUAUUGCUAAGAAGCAUGGACACGGACAUGGGACACAGACAUGCCGACACGUUAAUUUUCAAAAAAAGAAGGGCACGACAUGUGGGGGACACGCAUAAAAUAUGUAAUUUUAUAUAUUUAUUAUAUGUUAUAUAUAUUAAUAUAUCAUUCAAAGAUAAUAAAAAAAUGUAAUAUAACACCAAUUCUUAUAAAUUUAUAUGGUUUUGUUUUAUUAUUGUAUCUUAAGUUAUUUUGUUUAAACUUAUAAUUAGUUUCACAUGUGUUCAAUCGAUAGAUAUGUGUGUUUAUGUGAUUGACAUGUGUGCCCUUCAAGUGUCCAAAGAAUAU